rnacentral:rRNA from 1 species
GACGAACGCUGGCGGCGUGCCUAAUACAUGCAAGUAGAACGCUGAAGAGAGGAGCUUGCUCUUCUUGGAUGAGUUGCGAACGGGUGAGUAACGCGUAAGUAACCUGCCUUGUAGCGGGGGAUAACUAUUGGCAACGAUAGCUAAUACCGCAUAACAAUGGAUGACACAUGUCAUUUAUUUGAAAGGGGCAAUUGCUCCACUACAAGAUGGACCUGCGUUGUAUUAGCUAGUAGGUGAGGUAAUGGCUCACCUAGGCGACGAUACAUAGCCGACCUGAGAGGGUGAUCAGCCACACUGGGACUGAGACACGGCCCAGACGCCUACGAGAGGCAGCAGUAGGGAAUCUACGGCAAUGGGGGCAACCCGGACCGAGCAACGCCGCGUGAGUGAAGAAGGGGUUCGGAUGGUAAAGCUCUGUUGUCAGUCAAGAGCGGGUGUGAGAGUGGAAAGUUCGCACUGUGACGGUAGCUUACCAGAAAGGGCCGGCUAACUACGUG